rnacentral:rRNA from 1 species
GAUGAACGCUGGCGGCGUGCUUAACACAUGCAAGUCGAACGAUGAAGCCCAGCUUGCUGGGUGGAUUAGUGGCGAACGGGUGAGUAACACGUGAGUAACCUGCCCUUAACUCUGGGAUAAGCCUGGGAAACUGGGUCUAAUACCGGAUAGGAGCGUCCACCGCAUGGUGGGUGUUGGAAAGAUUUAUCGGUUUUGGAUGGACUCGCGGCCUAUCCGCUUGUUGGUGAGGUAAUGGCUCACCAAGGCGACGACGGGUAGCCGGCCUGAGAGGGUGACCGGCCACACUGGGACUGAGACACGGCCCAGACUCCUACGGGAGGCAGCAGUGGGGAAUAUUGCACAAUGGGCGCAAGCCUGAUGCAGCGACGCCGCGUGAGGGAUGACGGCCUUCGGGUUGUAAACCUCUUUCAGUAGGGAAGAAGCGAAAGUGACGGUACCUGCAGAAGAAGCACCGGCUAACUACGUG